rnacentral:rRNA from 1 species
AUUGAACGCUGGCGGCGUGCUUAACACAUGCAAGUCGAGCGGUAACGCGGGGGCAACCCUGGCGACGAGCGGCGAACGGGUGCGUAAUACAUGGGAAUCUGCCCUGUAGUGGGGAAUAACCCGGCGAAAGCCGGGCUAAUGACGCAUACGAUCUACGGAUGAAAGCGGGGGACCUUCGGGCCUCGCGCUAUUGGAUGAGCCCAUGUCGGAUUAGCUAGUUGGUGAGGAACGGCUCACCAAGGCGACGAUCCGUAGCUGGUCUGAGAGGACGGCCAGCCACACUGGGACUGAGACACGGCCCAGACUCCUACGGGAGGCAGCAGUGGGGAAUAUUGGACAAUGGGGGAAACCCUGAUCCAGCGACGCCGCGUGUGUGAAGAAGGCCUGCGGGGUU